CUCAAUUAAUAAAAAAUUAGCCUAGUAUGUAUAUAUAUGUAGUAAUAUACACAUAAUUUUGGGGGUUCUUUCUCCUCAAAGAAGUACCCUUAUUUUGUUAGCCACACCAUUAAUUACAGGUCGGAGUAUAAUCCUGAGUAGUACCUAUGUGCAAGGAAUUUUCCCUUGCUGAUAGAACAUACCAAAGGCAGGAUUUGGACCUCAAGAAUGCCAGAGACCACACUUUACAAUGUAUUCAACAACUCUCUUCACAAAUUGCUCCCCAUAGAUGUUAGUAGCCUUUGAUAUUAAACUCAUUUGCUCGAUCUUCUUCUGAGCUGAAUCUUGCUAGCCUUUGAUCUUCUUAUGAUUUAAAAACCAAAGAGAUCUAUUCAAUGUCUUUGGAUGCUUGCUGGAACCAGCUACUAUUGUCCCUGAUACAACUUUAGUUGAGUUCUAUGAUGCACAUGGGAAGUGAAGUACGAGUUCUAUGAUGUAACCUAUAGGACCAAGAUCAGCAUUUGCAACAGGUCGUUGAGUAGAUCAUAGACCUUCUUGCUCACCUAGCCGAACAGGAUAUGGUGAAGGAGGACAAACAAGCUAUUUCUUGCUACUGUGCUGACAUGCAGUAGAUACUAGAGCAGAUAUUGUUGAAGAUUUUUCAGUGCUAAAUGGAUCUCCUUAGGGUUCUUCUGUAAUUAUUGUUGUGGAUAAGCGAGAUGGAUGAAAAUCGUUUUUCAUAUAUUCAUGCUAGAAUGGAACGCACCAUAUUGGAUGUAACCAAAACAUUAUUAGCCUUUUGUUGACAAUGCAGGGGACAAGCUAUCCCUGACAAAUAAUGUUAUACUAGUAUUGUGUU